AAAGGUAUAGGGACAGCAGCCAAGGCGAGGGCGGGGCGAAGUCUCGGGGCUGGAGAGGAGAGGUCCGCAGUAAGUGGCCGGCCAGUGGCGGGCUACUGAAGAAGAACGUAGGGCAGGGAUCCCCUCCUGGCGCAGCGGAGGUAGUGGGAGGCAUAGUUUUUGGCAAUAGCCAGCCAAGGAUACAGGGAACAGGUGCGGCGCCUGCACGCUGACUUCACGUGGUGGAUGUCUGGCUGAGAGAGAAGUAGGAAAUCCUCACAACGCUUCUUCCAGCUUUGAUCUGCCUGGGGCAGCCCGUGGUGGAAGAUGACUCUGUAGCCCUGGUGUCUACCAGUAUCCGGAGUGGGAGCCCCAAGAGCCAUGUAGACAGGCACCCAGCACUGUGCCAGCUAUGUGGGAGUUGGCUGGCUCUGGGGACGAGCUGUUGGCAGUGCAGGUGGCUGGCGACAAGGAUGGAGUGUGAGGCCUCGAGACAGGAUGGCAGGCAGCACAGAAGCCUCCGCACUCAGCAGAGCUGCGGUCCUGGCUGCUCUGAGGCUCCAUGGAGGUGGGGGAUGCGAGGAAUUCUUUCUGAAAGAGAGAUCUGACCAGAGAGAUGCGACAACUACAUGUAAGGUGGACAGAGUCCUUAGGCAGCGUUGGAAUUACUAUCCGAAGCAUGUGUAAAUGGCUGGCUGAGUAACUGGGGCGCAGGAAGGAGAGGACCUGCCCCUUCUGUCUUCUCUUCUGCUAGCCUCAGACACCCUGAGUCAGGCGAGGGCCCACUGCUCCCUUGAUGGAGACUACAGGAGGACUCGGAAUCCUCUGGGAGUGGAGUUACAGCUGGUUGAGAGCCACGUGAGUGCUGGGAAUCAACCUUGGAACCUCUGGAAAAAGCGGCGAGUCAACCACAACCCAUCGCUCAAGCCCCAUUGCUGGGCCUGGUGACAACGCAUGUCAGUCCUGCCUCAGCCCCCUGAAUGCAUGUUUACAGAUGUGCACCAGAGCACCUGACUCAAGUUUUAAACGAUCAUUUUGAGCACUCCUUCUCAUGGCCAUUUCCCUGUAAAUCAGCAGAGACACUGGGGAAUGGAGCAGUUUGACUCCCAUGGCUGCUGGAGUCUCCUUUACUGCCCCGUCUGUCUUGAGCAACACUGGGCUCUGUCUGUUCUUGUCUGCUUUUAGAGUGGGCUGAGCUGGUAACAUAAAGGAGCAACAGCUGAGUGGCGGUGAUGACGCCUUUAAUCCCAGCCCUCAGGAGGCAGAGGUAGGCAGAUUUCUGAGUCUCAGGCCAGCCUGGGCUACAGAAAAAAAAAAAGGGAAGGAAGAAAAAAGCAGCAGCAGAGACUGCAAAGUGACCAGAGAGCUAAGCAGCCGGCAGGGCAGGCUACCAAAGCAGCAAGAUGGCGGCCACAGGGCAGCUAAAAAGACAAGAGUUGACAGCUGGCAGAAUGGCCAGCUGCCCUGACAGCAGCAGAAGCAAAAGCAGCCGUGAGCACACUCCAGAACCCAGAGGUCAUCAUGGUCAGGACUACUUGGCCUAAGACCUGAAGAGACUCCAGGGGAGAAGCCAUUUCCUGCCCACCCCAAAUGAUGGUGACUCCAGCUUCCCGUAAGAUCUGACGAUGAUCUGCCUCAGUUUCAAAAGCAAGCCAAAAGGGUUAAGAGCUUUUCCUGCAAGGCCCCGCUCGAGCAUCCCAGCCCCGGGCUUGCCAGGGUGAGCUUUUCCUUUGCUUACACUCAUCGAUUCAGGCCAGGCCUGCCUUCACCACACUCCCCACACCAUCUAAGAUGAGGAGAACUGGGAGACUCGUGUGUCGGUCCGGCUGUGCUGAGUCCAGAGUGCCCCCUGGUGGACACUGGUAGCCCUCUAAAUCUGAAUCUCUUCAUUGGGGCAGAGCCUCUAGGCUUGUGCUAAGGCAGGCUACCAGCUCAAUCCAGCGGGAGCUAGAUGCAAGCCAGUCUGGGAAAGAAGAAAGGCAAGGCCAGCAUUCCUGAGCAGCAGGACAUAGCUGUCCUACUCUAAAGGCUGUCUGUCUGCUCAACCUUCAUCAACCUUCACACAGAGACACAAGGGCCUCCAGGAACCAGAAGACGGCAACUCCUUUAAGCCAGCAGUUCUCAGCCUAUGGGUCGUGACCCAUUUGGCAAACCUCUCCAAAAGUAUUUACAUGACACUUCGUAAGAGUAGCAAAAGUAUGGCUGUGAAGUGGCAGAAAAAAUAAUGUUAUGUUUGGGGGUCACCACAACAUGAGGGACUGCACUAAAGGGUUGCUGCGUAAGGAAGGCUGAGAAGCGCUGCCUUAAGUGGACUAACCCCUUUACCCAGGACAACUGAUCUGACUGUGUAGGUCAUAGACUCAGCAGGGCUAACAACUACAUGGAAGAAUGAACACUUUCCACUUUUGUGUAUAUGCAGUAAUAGCUGGCAGAAUUUUUCUCUUCUCAUUUCCCCACAACUGGAUAGUUGACCUCCAUAUCAACAGGUUCUGUAGCCACAGAUUCAACCAACCAUGCAUCAAGAAAUGUUGGUGCUACAUAAUCUGCAGAUGACUUAAGGUAUGCGGCAGAUGUGCAACUUACAGGUAACUUCUAUACAUUAUAUAUAAGUCUUGAGCAUCUACGGGUUCUGGAAUCUCCAGGAGCUCCUGUGGGUACCAAAGGAUCACUGUAUCCUCCUAUAAUUUUUAAACUUUAAUUUUACUUUAUUUGAGACAGGAAUCUUGCACCAUAUCCCAGGUUGGCCUGGGACUCGUUUACUAGUCUCUCAAGGGCUGGGAUUACAGGUGUGUGCCACCAGGCCCAGCCGCUUACUUUUGAUAAGAGAGAAACUAAGAGUACUGGCUAUUCUUCCAGAAGACCCAUGUUCAAGUCCCAGCACCCACAUGGUCAUCACAAUCCUCUGUAUCUCCAGUUCCAAGGGCUGGCCUCCUCUAGCCUCCAGUGCAGGAUGCACAUAUGCAAGUGGUGUAAAACGUACAUGCAGGGGAAAACCCAUACACAUAGCAUUUUAAACAAAUAAAGGGCAAGCAAGA
rnacentral:lncRNA from 1 species